CCUACGGGAGGCAGCAGUGGGGAAUAUUGCACAAUGGGGGAAACCCUGAUGCAGCCAUGCCGCGUGUGUGAAGAAGGCCUUCGGGUUGUAAAGCACUUUCAGCGAGGAGGAAAGGUUGGUAGCUAAUAACUGCCAGCUGUGACGUUACUCGCAGAAGAAGCACCGGCUAACUCCGUGCCAGCAGCCGCGGUAAU
rnacentral:rRNA from 1 species